UACGGAGGGUGCAAGCGUUGUCCGGAUUUAUUGGGUUAAAGGGUGCGUAGGUGGAACUGUAAGUCUGAUUUGAAAGCAAGCGGCUUAACCGUUUGAUGUGGUUGGAAACUGUGGUUCUUUGAAUGGGUUGGCGGUAGCCGGAAUGGGUCAUGUAGCGGUGAAAUGCAUAGAUAUGACCCGGAACACCGAUUGCGAAGGCAGGCUACUACGACUUGAUUGACACUGAGGCACGAGAGCAUGGGUAGCGAACAGG
rnacentral:rRNA from 1 species